UACGGGGGGGGCAAGCGUUGUUCGGAAUUACUGGGCGUAAAGGGCUCGUAGGCGGCCAACUAAGUCGGAUGUGAAAUCCCCAGGCUUAACCUGGGAACUGCAUCCGAUACUGGAUGGCUUGAAUCCGGGAGAGGGAUGCAGAAUUCCAGGUGUAGCGGUGAAAUGCGUAGAUAUCUGGAGGAAUUCCGGUGGCGAAGGCGGCAUCCUGGACCGGCAUUGACGCUGAUGAGCGAAAGCUAGGGGAGCAAACGGG
rnacentral:rRNA from 1 species